rnacentral:lncRNA from 1 species
UCUGGAUUUUUGUGUCUUUGGAUUUCGUUCAUAGAUGGCGUUUUAAAAUUUGGUAAUGACCUUGACCACAUGUUCCCGGAAGGUAAAAACUUCAGGAAUAUGGACGAUAACAUGCGGCAGUGGUUAACCAGAGUUGUGAGUUUCAGUGUAAAAUGAAACGUUUAAACAGCAUGGAAACUAGACAAUUAACUUAUCAAGGUUCAUGCUUACGAAUGUCUCUUUUAAUAGGAUAGGGAAAAUGUAGUUUUUUACACAUAACUCAGAAAGGGGGGGGGGUUGUUGCAAACUAAUCCUUGGUUGUUACAACCUACUGUUUUUGUACACCUUUAUGUACAAAAACAGUAGGUUGUAACAACCAAGGAUUAGUUUGCAAAAUCCUUGUAACAACUAGUAUCAUAAAAUAAAAUGUAAAAUGUUUGACAAUUUGUAUUAGGUAUGUAGUUUUAAAUAUUUUACCUCAUGCAUCGAUCACUGAAAUCUUAGACUACUAUAACACAGUAGUCUCAGCUGAAAUCUCAAUAUAAAAAAAAACAAAACUACCACACAUUUGACUCUUGAGCCUUGAGGUAUACUGCAAAUCACAAGGAUACUUAGAAUAUAAUUAAUAAAGGAUAUUUAAUAUGACUAAUCUGCAGUAAGCACCAAGAAUUGAUGCUUAAAGGUAAGUCCCUUCUUGUACUUAAUGCAGAUGAGUCAAACUCCUAUUUUAUUUAAAAUAUAUUUUAAAAGCAUAUUUAAAGAUUAUAGAUUCUGUGUCCAGCCAACAAAGAUCAUCAAGGGACGGUGCAAGAGAAUAUGAAAUUCUUCUUACAAUAAAACAAUUUAUCCUCAUGCUAUAUAUAUAGAUUAUGCCAUUUAGAAUGCACUUAAAGUUAAUGAAACUAACAAUUAAACAAAUACAGGAUUACUGUUGUAACAAUUGUUGAUUGCCAUAAAAGGCUGAUUAGUAUUGAGAAUGAAAUAAAAAAUAUGACCAACAGAAUACAGUAUAUUAUAACUAUCUAUAAUCUAUGUACAUUGUAAUCUAUGUAUAACGUAUCUGCAUUGAGUUGCAUCUGAAAUAGUAAAAUACUGACAUAUAAUAUCUUUUCCAGGUCAAUUAUCUGUAUUGAAUGGCUGGAGAAUACAAACCUAGUACAAAUGUAUAUAGAGGAAUGAAGAGGCCUCACAUAUAACAUGGGGUCAAGGUGAUAAUGAAUGUUAUACUAUACUACGAAAUAUAUAAAUGAACUAAAAUUAAAAAUCAUACAAGACUAACAAAGGCAAGAGGCUCCUGACUUGGGACAUGCGCAAAAAUGCGUAAGGGUUAAACAUGUUUUGCAAGAUCUCAACCUAUCCAGCUAGCCAUUGUAGAAAAACAAAAACAAUAGGCACAGUAAAUCUCAGUUUAAAGAAGUCAUAUUUAGUCCUAUGUCAGAUACAGAAUAGGAAAAAAAAAACUAAGCAAAAUUACGAUACAUAAAUUUACAAAGGACUACUAGCAGUUACUGACAUGUUCCUCAGACAUAUGUGAACUUAACUAAAUGUCAUACACUAUAUAUGCUUUAUCACUUUUUGACUUUUUUUUUUUUUAGCAUAUGAAAUAUAAUAUUUUGAAUAUAUUGUACCAAUGUUUUUUUUUUAAGAAUAUUUUUUUUGUACCCUAAUACCGGUAGGACAUGAAUUACCAAUAAGAAAAAUAAUUUCUUUGGUUUUAUUCCAAUACAGAUACAUGUACAUGAAGUCAGACUAAAUGUUUUUGAACCUUGCAUAUCUACUUGAACUUGUUUCUUAGUUUUGCAAAAUUACUUUAUUCAGUAAAAUUUCGAAACAAAUGUAUAGUUUUGUAGACAUUGGUCUCAUACAAAUUGCAUUUUAUUAAACUUGGGCAAAUUAUAUUUCAGCAAAAGGCUUUGCCAUCCAAUACAUGUAUUUCAUCUCGGAAGAAAAAGAACAACAGUCCUGAUGAUGGUGACAGGUCAAAUUAAUCUAACAGGUAACACAUACAUGACAUAUUGUUUUAAGGCUUUUCCAUUUAAACAUACAUGCAUGCAUAUUGGGACCAGGGAAGACACUUAGAGAUCCAAAGUUACAAUGUGGGGUGGGGUUAAUUGCAAUAAAAAUGUUAGUGAAAUUUUCAAUUGGCUUCUAUCAGUUGAUUAUUGAUUGACUUUAUUAACUUAAUAUUUCUGUAACAAUUGUACAUGUAAUAACAAUUAGCCACUCCAUGAUAACCAUUACCAAAAAUGUUGUAUAGUCUGAUUAUAACCACAGAAUUUACUUUGCUUUUCAGAUACUAGUGAAGAAAUCAAGAAACAAGAGUAGACACCAUUUGACCAACUGUGCUUACAAUACUUGUGCAAUAGUUGUAAUUGAUGUCCAUAUUACAUUGUAGUAUCAUAUGAUAAUACAUUACAGCAUCCACAGAAUUAUCAUCUUGGUCGUCAAUGCCUCUCAUUUCUUAAUAAAUUGCAUUUGUUAUUUUGGUUGUAUGAUUUUCUAAAAAGACUUUUUUGUUAUUAUAGGAGUAGAAUGUUGAAAAAAACAAAUGACAAAGAUCAUUGUUGAAUGAAGUGCAAGUACUUUUUUAAAGUUUUAAAUAGAAAAUUAGUAUGGUGUUUGAGCGAUUUAAAAUAGAUAUUUCUUAUUUGUUUCCAGUACAUUAAUAAGCACUUUAUCACACAAUCAGUGGCAGAUCCAGAAAUUUUCAUAAGUUGGGGCCCACUGACUGCCUAAGAGGGGUCCGGCCCACUCCAGUCAUGCUUCAGUGAUUCCCUAUAUAAUCAACCAAAUUUUUUUUCCAGAAAAGGGGAGGCCUGGCCUGGCCCCCCUCUAAAUCCGCCUAUG